rnacentral:rRNA from 1 species
CACGUAGGGCGCAAGCGUUGUCCGGAAUUAUUGGGCGUAAAGAGCUCGUAGGCGGUUUGUCGCGUCUGCCGUGAAAGUCCGGGGCUCAACUCCGGAUCUGCGGUGGGUACGGGCAGACUAGAGUGAUGUAGGGGAGACUGGAAUUCCUGGUGUAGCGGUGAAAUGCGCAGAUAUCAGGAGGAACACCGAUGGCGAAGGCAGGUCUCUGGGCCGGUACUGACGCUGAGACGCGAAAGCGUGGGGAGCGAACAGG